ACGCACAGUGCUUUAGAUGUAUGUAUUAACCCUUUCUAAGAUCAGUUUGACCCAACUCUUUAGACUCUCACACUUACUCAGAUCCCCAGAAUAAUCCAUUGGCUUUUUAAUUACCUGACUGUGAUUAGACCCAGGAUACUGACCCAGAUUACCCAAGUAAGCCCUUCUCAAUCAGCACCUCCACUCCAGAUCACUUCUGUUUGCAGUCCAAUAAAUCCCAGCUUCGGUUGAAGAAAUUCUCAGCCAGAAUGUUGAAAGUAACAGAAACAGUCACAUCUCCCCUUGUCUUCUAAAAGUCCUCAGUGGGAUUUUUUUGUGUGUGUGUCUGUCGUCUGAUGGAAGCAGGGGUCGGGGAAUUGCUCAAAUAAAGUUGCAAUGUUUGCUAAAAUCUGAAAAUUUUCCACCUACUGGAUUUUUUUUUUUUGUUGUUACACAGAUUCUUUGAGUUACUAAGCGUUGCAGAGCUGGGCUUUCCCUUUAUCCUUGUUUAUAGCUACAGAAGGCAAAAAAACCAUAAAUCUUUUAGAAAGCCC